rnacentral:rRNA from 1 species
CACGUAGGGUGCGAGCGUUGUCCGGAAUUAUUGGGCGUAAAGAGCUCGUAGGCGGUUUGUCGCGUCUGCUGGUGAAAACUGGAGGCUCAACCUCCAGCCUGCAGUGGGUACGGGCAAACUAGAGUGCGGGUAGGGGAGAUUGGAAUUCCUGGUGUAGCGGUGGAAUGCGCAGAUAUCAGGAGGAACACCGAUGGCGAAGGCAGAUCUCUGGGCCGUAACUGACGCUGAGGAGCGAAAGCAUGGGGAGCGAACAGG